rnacentral:rRNA from 1 species
AACGAACGCUGGCGGCGCGUCUUAAGCAUGCAAGUCGAAUGGCAAGGGAGUGCUUGCACUCCCCUAGAAUGGCGGACUGGUGAGUAACACGUGGGUGACACACCCUUAGGACGGGGAUAGCUUCUAGAAAUAGAAGAUAAUACCGGAUACGACCACUACAGUUAGAGUGUAGUGAGGAAAGGGGCUACGGCCCCGCCUGAGGAAUGGCCCGCGGCCCAUUAGCUAGUUGGUGAGGUAAAGGCCCACCAAGGCGAUGAUGGGUAUCCGGCCUAAGAGGGUGAACGGACACAUUGGGACUGAGAUACGGCCCAGACUCCUACGGGAGGCAGCAGCUAAGAAUAUUCCGCAAUGGACGAAAGUCUGACGGAGCGACGCCGCGUGGAUGAUGAAGGCCGUGAGGUUGUAAAGUCCUUUUGAACCUGACGAAUAAGCGCGGGAGGGGAUGCCCGCGUGGUGACGGUAGGGUUUGAAUAAGC